rnacentral:rRNA from 1 species
UACGAAGGGGGCUAGCGUUGCUCGGAAUCACUGGGCGUAAAGGGUGCGUAGGCGGGUCUUUAAGUCAGGGGUGAAAUCCUGGAGCUCAACUCCAGAACUGCCUUUGAUACUGAAGAUCUUGAGUCCGGGAGAGGUGAGUGGAACUGCGAGUGUAGAGGUGAAAUUCGUAGAUAUUCGCAAGAACACCAGUGGCGAAGGCGGCUCACUGGCCCGGUACUGACGCUGAGGCGCGAAAGCGUGGGGAGCAAACAGG